rnacentral:rRNA from 1 species
UGUACAAAGGUAGCAUAAUCAUUUGUCUCUUAAUUGGAGUCUGGAAUGAAUGGUUGGAUGAAAAAUUUACUUUCUUUAUUUUAAAUAAAUAAUUUGAUUUUUGUAUUAAAAAGUAUAAAUAUUAAUAAAGGACGAGAAGACCCUAUAGAACUUUAUUUUUUUAUAUUAAUUAUUUUUUAGUAAAUAAUUAUUAAUUAAUAGUAGAAAAUUUUGUUGGGGUGACAAAAAAAAAAUUAUAACUUUUUUUAAUUUAUUCAUAUAUAUAUGAUUUAUUGAUCCUUUAUUAAGGAAAAAAGAUUAAGUUACCUUAGGGAUAACAGCGUUAUUAUUUCAGAGAGUUCAUAUUGAUGAAAUAGUUUGCGACCUCGAUGUUGGAUUAAAAUUAAUUUCAGGAGUAGAAAAUUGAAAUAUUAGGUCUGUUCGACCUUUAAAUUUUUACAUGAUCUGAGUUCAAACCGGAGA